GACGAACGCUGGCGGCGUGCUUAACACAUGCAAGUCGAACGGAAAGGCCCUGCUUUUGUGGGGUGCUCGAGUGGCGAACGGGUGAGUAACACGUGAGUAACCUGCCCUUGACUUUGGGAUAACUUCAGGAAACUGGGGCUAAUACCGGAUAGGAGCUCCUGCUGCAUGGUGGGGGUUGGAAAGUUUCGGCGGUUGGGGAUGGACUCGCGGCUUAUCAGCUUGUUGGUGGGGUAGUGGCUUACCAAGGCUUUGACGGGUAGCCGGCCUGAGAGGGUGACCGGCCACAUUGGGACUAGGAUACGGCCCAGACUCCUACGGGAGGCAGCAGUGGGGAAUAUUGCACAAUAGGCGGAAGCCUGAUGCAGCAACGCCGCGUGCGGGAUGACGGCCUUCGGGUUGUAAACCGCUUUCGCCUGUGACGAAGCGUGAGUGACGGUAAUGGGUAAAGAAGCACCGGCUAACUACGUG
rnacentral:rRNA from 1 species